GGCGAUCAGAUACCGCCCUAGUUCUGACCGUAAACGAUGCCAACUAGCGAUCCGCCGGCGGAUUCAUUCGCCCUGGUGGGGAGCUUCCCGGAAACGAAAGUCUUCCGGUUCCGGGGGAAGUAUGGUUGCAAAGCUGAAACUUAAAGGAAUUGACGGAAGGGCACCACCAGGAGUGGAGCCUGCGGCUUAAUUUGACUCAACACGGGGAAACUCACCCGGCCCGGACACCGUAAGGAUUGACAGAUUGAUAGCUUUUUCAUGAUUCGGUGGAUGGUGGUGCAUGGCCGUUCUUAGUUCGUGGAGCGAUUUGUCUGGUUUAUUCCGAUAACGAGCGAGACUCUGGCCUACUAAAUAGUUGGCACAUUGCCACUGUGUGCACAACUCCUUAGAGGGAUUUUCGGUGUUCAGCCGCACGAAAUUGAGCAAUAACAGGUCUGUGAUGCCCUUAGAUGUCCGGGGCUGCACGCGCGCUACACUGGCAAAAUCAGCGUGCUUGUCCUCCCCCGAAAGGGGUUGGUAAACCGAUGAAAAUUUGCCGUGAUUGGGAUCGGACAUUGCAAUUAUUGUCCGUGAACGAGGAAUCCCUUGUAAGGGCGAGUCAUCAACUCGUCCUGAAUACGUCCCUGCCCUUGUA
rnacentral:rRNA from 1 species